rnacentral:piRNA from 1 species
AUUCGGUUGACAAAUUAAUAGGAGC